UACGAAGGGGGCUAGCGUUGCUCGGAAUCACUGGGCGUAAAGGGUGCGUAGGCGGGUCUUUAAGUCAGGGGUGAAAUCCUGGAGCUCAACUCCAGAACUGCCUUUGAUACUGGGAGUCUCGAGUUCGGGAGAGGUGAGUGGAACUGCGAGUGUAGAGGUGAAAUUCGUAGAUAUUCGCAAGAACACCAGUGGCGAAGGCGGACUCACUGGCCCGAUACUGACGCUGAGGUGCGAAAGCGUGGGA
rnacentral:rRNA from 1 species